UACGGAGGGUGGCAAGCGUUAUCCGGAUUCACUGGGUUUAAAGGGUGCGUAGGUGGGCAGGUAAGUCAGUGGUGAAAUCUCCGGGCUUAACUCGGAAACUGCCAUUGAUACUAUCUUUCUUGAAUACCGUUGGAGGUCAGCGGAAUAUGUCAUGUAGCGGUGAAAUGCUUAGAUAUGACAUAGAACACCAAUUGCGAAGGCAGCUGGCUACACGAAUAUUGACACUGAUGCACGAAAGCGUGGGGAUCAAACAGG
rnacentral:rRNA from 1 species